rnacentral:rRNA from 1 species
CGCGCUCCAUUCGGUAGCAAUACUGAUGAAGAGCGAGUGGCGAACGGGUGAGUAGCACGUGAGCAACCUGCCCCGAAGACUGGGACAACACCGGGAAACCGGUGCUAAUACCGGAUAUCCCUAUCGGAUCGCAUGAUCCAAUAAGGAAAUGUUUUUCGCUUCGGGAGGGGCUCGCGGCCUAUCAGCUUGUUGGUGGGGUAACGGCCCACCAAGGCAUCGACGGGUAGCUGGUCUGAGAGGACGAUCAGCCACACUGGGACUGAGACACGGCCCAGACUCCUACGGGAGGCAGCAGUGGGGAAUCUUGCGCAAUGGGCGAAAGCCUGACGCAGCAACGCCGCGUGGAGGACGAAGGCUUUCUGAGUUGUAAACUCCUUUCAGCAGGGACGAUUGUGACGGUACCUGCAGAAGAAGCACCGGCCAACUACGUGCCAGCAGCCGCGGUGAUACGUAGGGUGCAAGCGUUGUCCGGAUUUAUUGGGCGUAAAGAGCUCGUAGGCGGUUUGAUAAGUCGGGUGUGAAAUCUCCAGGCUCAACCUGGAGCUGCCACUCGA